CCCUAGAAAAAGACAAAAAGACAAAAAGAAAAAAGAAAACAGCUCUAGGAAUUCCUGCUGUGGUGCAACAUGAUGGACCAUGUUUCUGCAGUGUCAGGGACACAGGUUCAAUCCCGGGGCCCAGUGCAGUGGGUUAAGGAUCCGGCGUUGUGACAGCUGUAGCAUAGGUUGCAACUCUGGCUCAGAUUCCAUCCCUGGCCCAGGAUCCCAUGUGCCAUGGAGCAGUCAAAAAAGAAAAGAAAAAAGAAAAACAGUUCUAGUUUUCCUCUCUGACCACCUGGCCUGUGGGCUCCACCCUCACCUAGGGCAGCCAGUGGGGGGAUCUGCCCUCCUGCAAUUCAACCCUAAGUGAGUAGAAGUCACAGCCUUCCAAAAGGGGCUAGUCAGCCUCACAGCCCUUUGCUCUGUACUUCUGGAGUUAUGUAGAAUUUGGAGAGAAAAUGUUCAAUGCUUUGACCUCUUAGCACACACACACGCAAUGGAGCCAUAUAAAACUAAGUUGUGUAAACACAGUUGUCCCUCCAUAUCCAUUGGGGGGGAGUGGUUCCAAGACCCCAAGGAUACCAAAAUCCAUGAUUGCUCAAAUCCCUUAUAUAAAAUGACAUAGAUUAUGCACAUAAGCCACACAUGUCUUUCCAUACACUCUGUGUGGGCAUGAGGAAGUUUCCAGGCGAAGGACUGAACAUGCGCUACAGCAGUGACAAUGCCAGAUCCUCAACCACUAGGCCACCAGGGAACUCCUGUUCCAUAUACGAUAAAUUACCAUUGGAUGACUUAUAACACCUACUGCAAUGUAAAUGCUGAGUAAAUAAUUGCAAAUACAAGUAAAUGCUAUGUAAGUAGUUGCCAGUGCACAGCAAAUUCAAGGUUUGCUUUUUGGAAUUCUCUGGACUUUUUAAAAUUUUUCUGAAUAUUUUCGAUCUGUGGUUAUUUGAACCCAUGGAUGCAGAGGCCUAGGACCCAGAGGACCUACGUUAUUUUUCAAAGCUAAAUGCAGGUCCAGGAUUUGAACUGUCACGGAGCUCUCUUUAUAAAGUUAUCAAGUCUGGGCAGGAAAUUGGAUCUGUUCCAGUCGAAGUUCCAGUUUACUCUGCCUCUGGAUGUGAUUAAAAUAUGAAGCCUGAUUCUUCUCCUGGCCGUUAGCUGGUCAGUUUUGAGACUGCAGAUGGUAAAAGUUCCAGGAUCUAAAAGCACGUGGGGCUGGAGAAAGCCACUCCUUCGGGCAUCCCCACAAUCUUUUCAAACAAUUGGGGGUGAUCUGCCUUUCUGCUCUCUGCUCGCAUUUCCCCCAUUUGGAAGGUGGAUUAGACACAUUUUCCACGUGGGUAAAAAACUGGGCAAAGUUUCCCUUGACCUCAGUAAAGGCCUGGGAAGGAAUGUCCCCUCUUGUCUAGUGCCACUGUGUUACACGCAUGCACUGGAAUAACCCCCCCCACCGCUGCCGCCUCCUUCUGAAGCAAUAGCAUCCAUUUCUGGCACCAUGCCAUUUGGGGCAGAUUUUUCAAGUCUGAAGUGGCACAAACAGUUGAAAGGGAUGUGUGGAUCAAGGGCUUUUCAGGACAGGAUACAGGGAGCAAACAUCUAAGCCACAGUCUCCAGAGCCUGCCAAGGUGAAUACUUGGUGUGUUUUGUUUCCAGUUUACUUCAGCUGAGGUGUGGAGAGAUGACGCUGGCUGAAGUGUCAGAGAAUCACAGUGUGUGAGGCUGACGUGAGUCUGGAUGGGAGCCGGGUGACCCGGUCCAGAGUGGGGCUCCCUGGAAGAGGUCCAGUCCCUCAGCCUACCCGGGCUGUCCCCUGAUCUUGGAGUCCCCAGGGGCGGGGUGAAGGUCCAGGACUCGAGUCCUCUGCCUACCAUGUUUCCCAAGAGUUUUGCAUGACCUGAUUCUCUCCAUCCUGAUUAACCCCAAUGCAAAGUAGCUCCCUGUCCACCAAAGCUCUCCAAGGAUCAGAAUUUUUCAGUUUUCUGGAAUCAGAAUGCCAAAGUCAUGAGUCCAAACCUAAUAAUCUGUUUCCUCUGCUCUCCUAAUUAUUUUGCUGAAGUUUCUGUGUCUGAACCUUAAAAAUUUUUGUAUCACUUUCUAAAUAAAA